CUGGUGGUCUGCCGUUAUAUAUAACGGUUAUAACGAUGGCAUGACCGUUAUAACGACAGUAAUGCAGGGGGGCAGCAGAAGGUGGCAGCUGCAGGAUGGGGGCAGUUCUGGGUCCGGGAAAGGGCGGCGUGCAUGGGGCUGAUCUUGUCCGCCCCUUUGCUCAUUCCGCAGGAGGAGGAGGACGGGAGGAAGACUCGCUGCCGCUGCUGCUCCUCUUCGGGAGACCCCUGCACGGUCCUCCGGGCGGCCUCCGUAGUCAAGAUACCUGAGCCUGCCUGAGCAGGAGGAGAAGGAAGGCUUCUGCAACUGAGACCCGUUCCAGAGAGAUUCCCAGCAAACAGAAGAAGAUCUGGCUUUGUCCGUGUCCCGUCUGCACAGAAUGGGGAUGCAGACGUGAGCCUCCUGGGCUGCAGAAGAAAUUGUACUUCAAGAAUUCAUGUGAAAGAGCUUGAUUGCUGGGCGUUAGAGUUACUGGUGAAGAAGAUGCCUUUUGGGUUGAAAUGUGCUAGGCCCGGGGGUCUGCAGAGCGUCUGGUUUAUGGGGCAUAACUGGCAGACGUGAGUCGGUGUCUGAGGCCUAACACAGCAGCCUCCCCCCUUGCCAGGAGAGGAGAAGAGAGGAGUCGUGAUGGAGGGAGAGGUUUUCUCAGGUUUGUGAUACACAGAAUCCUCAUCAGUCUACAACACAAUGCUUGUGCAUGAGGGAAAGGUCCGGCUGCCUGCUUGGGACUGAAAUCCGCUCACUGGAGUAGGUGUCGGGGAAAACUCUCUGCACUUAUGAUACAGGUUGUUUUUGCCUCAGCACCUUUGGCCAAAAAAGGUAUUGUGACUGAACAGCCAUAAUAAAGUUGAACUGUUCUA